UUUUAAUGAGGAGUAGACUUUGUCAAAAACUUUUUCUAUGUCUAUUGAAAAGACGAAUGAGCAAAAAACAUUCACCUACAAUUCUACACCUAGCAAACAUUUCUUUGAAAAAUAGUGGUAGAAUAAAAAUGUGUUCAGGCAUAUAAGUGCUGGAAUAAUUUAUUUUCAGCAGAUCUGCAUUGUAAGAAAAAUGAGAAGAAUUCCUUCAGGAAGAAGAAAAAUGAUACCAGAUGGAUAUGUGGAUCCACAUAAAGGAACGAAGAGCACAGGAAAUAGUAACUAUACUGGAAGUGGUCCAGCCACCCUUUUCAUCUCUACCGUGGAAGACCUUUCAGGACCGACCUAGAUGGGGUUCAGGGGAAAAGAGACGAGCAGCCAGUGGAUCAGAAAACUUAUAAUAAGGUCUUCAUUCUGCAUUCAUUUCCGUAGCAUGAAACCUGUGACCAGACUCCCUCAGUUCAUACCAUGGCUCUGCCACUUAUUUGCUGCAUGAUCCCAGGCACGUUGCUUUACUUUGCUGUGGUUUAGUUCCUCCCCUCUGAACAUGGUGGCAAUAAUGAUACUUUACUCCUAGGGUGGUUGUGAGGACAAAAUUGGUUAACCUGUGUAAAACACUUAGAGCUACAUCUUGCACAUUGUAAAGAUAUGUACAUACUUGUUUUAUUACUAUUCUCUAUAUUUUUUAUUUUCCUGAAUACAAAAAAUGGUUUUGGUAUGUUGUUUUUCUAUUUGGCCAUUUUGUUGAGUUAUCUUAUUUAUUAUAAUAGUUUUUUUUAAAAUGACUUCUCUUAGAUUUCCUUGGUAGAGAAUUGUAAAAAUUAGACAGUUGAGCAGUUGAGGCCAUCCUUUGCAAUAGUUAAAACUCUUUUUUUUUUUUUUUGUCUUAUUACAUUGGCUAAUAUCUCUCGUGGCAAUGAUAAUGGAAAUCCUUGUCUUGUUCCUAAGUAGUAAGACUUCCUCUGAUAUUUCACCAUUAAGCAAGAUGUUUGCUGUAGGAUUUGGUAACUAUGCUUUAGAAGAUGAAGAUAUUUUAUUGUGAUAAAAUGAUAUUAUUAAAGUAUUUUUUUAAUGAGAAAGCAUGAUGAAUUUUAUUAAAUGUUCUCUUUGGCAUCUUUUAAGUUUAGCAUAUAUUUUUU